CCUACGGGAGGCAGCAGUGGGGAAUAUUGGGCAAUGGGCGCAAGCCUGACCCAGCAACGCCGCGUGAAGGAAGAAGGCUUUCGGGUUGUAAACUUCUUUUAAGAGGGAAGAGCAGAAGACGGUACCUCUUGAAUAAGCCACGGCUAACUACGUGCCAGCAGCCGCGGCAAUACGUAGGUGGCAAGCGUUGUCCGGAUUUACUGGGUGUAAAGGGUGUGCAGCCGGGAAGACAAGUCAGAUGUGAAAUCCCGCGGCUCAACCGCGGAACUGCCUUUGAAACUGUUUGUCUUGAGUGCCGGAGAGGUCGUCGGAAUUCCUUGUGUAGCGGUGAAAUGCGUAGAUAUAAGGAAGAACACCAGUGGCGAAGGCGGAUGACUGGACGGCAACUGACGGUGAGGCGCGAAAGCGUGGGGAGCAAACAGGAUUAGAUACCCCUGUAGUC
rnacentral:rRNA from 1 species